GAAACAGCGUUAAAUUUCGCUAAGAAAAGCCUGAUGUUGCAGCCAAAACUUGCAGUAUAAUCUAUUCAAAUUAAACAAAACAAAAAAUAAGAUGAACUCUAUAAGUAUAACCAUCAGUAAACCAAAGAGAGUACUCUCAUUCUUUUUUACUCAAAUCACGGAAAUUGAAUAUAUAUAGAGAUAAUUGGGUGUGAAGUAUCAGAUCUGAGUCUAAUUAAAUUUUCGGUUUUAUCUUUUUGAUCACAUGACAAUGAUAAUUUCAACCCCAUUUUCUGCCUUCUUUACCCUCACUCGCCAGAAUAGAGCAAUCCAAACUUAUCAUCAUUUAUCUUCAUUUUUGUCUCAUAUUUUCUCUCUCUCAAAACCUUUCUCUCAGUCUCGUCUUCCUCUCAUCGAAAACUUGUUUUUGCUCCAACGAAGUACAUGAUUCCCAUCGUUGUCACUAUUAAGUCGCCGUCUCAAAGCGUCUUCCUCUCUAAUUCGAUCUAAAUUUCUUGCAGGAUGACUCCAACGGAGCUUCCUUCUUGUUUAUUUGCCGAGAGAGAAGAACUUGCCGGUGAUACGGAGCAGUUGGUGAUAGAACUAAACCAGAAUCCGACGAUGAAGAUGUGUUCCCUCUAAUUUCUUUGAAAUUAGAUAAAGUGUGAGAAUUAGAUGUAGGAGAUCAAGUAUGUUAGACCUCUAUGCGUUUAUAUAAAUGUCCAUUCAGUUUUUGUCAAGCGACAUUUGUUUAGAUAUACAACUACAUCCUUUUUUAAUUUCUAUAAAUUGUUGUUAUAGAUAACUAUAUUUAUAAAUACAUAAAUA